ACGCUGGCGCGUGCUUAACACAUGCAAGUCGAACGAUGAACCCGGAGCUUGCUCCGGUGGAUUAGUGGCGAACGGGUGAGUAACACGUGAGUAACCUGCCCUUGACUCUGGGAUAACUGCUAGAAUGGUAGCUAAUACCGGAUACGACCCUCGGAGGCAUCUCCAGGGGGUGGAAAGAAUUUCGGUCAAGGAUGGACUCGCGGCCUAUCAGCUAGUUGGUGAGGUAAAGGCUCACCAAGGCGACGACGGGUAGCCGGCCUGAGAGGGCGACCGGCCACACUGGGACUGAGACACGGCCCAGACUCCUACGGGAGGCAGCAGUGGGGAAUAUUGGGCAAUGGAGGAAACUCUGACCCAGCGACGCCGCGUGCGGGAUGAAGGCCUUCGGGUUGCAAACCGCUUUCAGCAGGGAAGAAGCGAAAGUGACGGUACCUGCAGAAGAAGCACCGGCUAACUAUGUG
rnacentral:rRNA from 1 species